rnacentral:rRNA from 1 species
CGUGUAGGCGGGUCGGAAAGUCGGGCGUGAAAUCCCUAGGCUCAACCUAGGAACUGCACUCGAAACUCCCGGUCUUGAGUGGUGGAGAGGGAAGUGGAAUUCCUGGUGUAGAGGUGAAAUUCGUAGAUAUCAGGAGGAACACCAGUGGCGAAGGCGGCUUCCUGGACACCAACUGACGCUGAGACGCGAAAGCGUGGGGAGCAAACAGGAUUAGAUACCCUGGUAGUCCACGCUGUAAACGAUGGGCACUAGGUGUCGCGGGUUUUGACCCCCGCGGUGCCGUAGCAAACGCGUUAAGUGCCCCGCCUGGGGAGUACGGCCGCAAGGCUAAA